rnacentral:misc_RNA from 1 species
UGCGAGUUCGCGGGAGAGUAAGUUAUUGCCAGGGUUUUUGUUUUAUACUUUAAACAUUGAUUUUAUUUUUUAUGUUUUUGAAUGUUUUAUUCAAAUAAUAUAAAAAAUAAAAUAUAUAUUGACAUGGAUUAAACAAAGAUAUAUAUUAUUCUAUGUUGUAUAAAUAAAUUGGCAAAAUAGAGAUGGAAGAUAAAAAUAUGGUCAAAGUAAUAAGAGUCUAUGGUGAAUGCCUAGGAGC